rnacentral:misc_RNA from 1 species
GAUGAAGAACGCAGCGAAAUGCGAUACGUAAUGUGAAUUGCAAAUUCAGUGAAUCAUCGAGUCUUUGAACGCACAUUGCGCCCCCUGGUAUUCCGGGGGGCAUGCCUGUCCGAGCGUCAUUGCUGCCCUCAAGCACGGCUUGUGUGUUGGGCCCCGUCCUCCGAUCCCGGGGGACGGGCCCGAAAGGCAGCGGCGGCACCGCGUCCGGUCCUCGAGCGUAUGGGGCUUUGUCACCCGCUCCGUAGGCCCGGCCGGCGCUUGCCGAUCAACCCAAAUUUUUGUCCAGGUUGACCUCGGAUCAGGUAGGGAUACCCGCUGAACUUAAGCAUAUCAAUAAGCGGAGGA